rnacentral:rRNA from 1 species
UACAGAGGGGGCAAGCGUUAUUCGGAAUUAUUGGGCGUAAAGGGCGCGUAGGCGGCUUGGCAAGUGGAUGGUGAAAUCCCUCGGUCUUAACCGAGGAACUGCCGUCCAAACUGCUUCGCUUGAGACCGGGAGAGGUGAGUGGAAUUCCCAGUGUAGCGGUGAAAUGCGUAGAUAUUGGGAGGAACACCAGUGGCGAAGGCGGCUCACUGGACCGGUACUGACGCUGAUGCGCGAAAGCGUGGGGAGCAAACGGGG